UACGUAGGGCGCAAGCGUUAUCCGGAAUUAUUGGGCGUAAAGAGCUCGUAGGCGGUUUGUCGCGUCUGCCGUGAAAGUCCGGGGCUCAACUCCGGAUCUGCGGUGGGUACGGGCAGACUAGAGUGAUGUAGGGGAGACUGGAAUUCCUGGUGUAGCGGUGAAAUGCGCAGAUAUCAGGAGGAACACCAGUGGCGAAGGCGGUUGCCUGGGGCUUUGCUGACGCUGAUGCGCGAAAGCGUGGGGAGCGAUCCGG
rnacentral:rRNA from 1 species